rnacentral:rRNA from 11 species
AGCGAAAGCGAGUCUGAAUAGGGCGUUCAGUACAGCGGGGUAGACGCGAAACCAAGUGAUCUAUCCAUGGCCAGGAUGAAGGUACCGUAACAGGUGCUGGAGGUCCGAACCGACUAGUGUUGCAAAACUAGCGGAUGAGCUGUGGAUAGGGGUGAAAGGCUAAACAAACUUGGAAAUAGCUGGUUCUCUCCGAAAACUAUUUAGGUAGUGCCUCAAGUAUUACCUGCGGGGGUAGAGCACUGUUUAGGCUAGGGGGUCAUGGCGACUUACCAAACCUUAGCAAACUCCGAAUACCGCAGAGUACAGCUUGGGAGACAGAGCACCGGGUGCUAACGUCCGGACUCAAGAGGGAAACAACCCAGACCGCCAGCUAAGGUCCCUAAAA